GACGAACGCUGGCGGCGUGCUUAACACAUGCAAGUCGAACGGAAAGGCCCUGCUUUUGUGGGGUGCUCGAGUGGCGAACGGGUGAGUAACACGUGAGUAACCUGCCCUUGACUUUGUGAUAACUUCAGGAAACUGGGCUAAUACCGGAUAGGAGCUCCUGCUGCAUGGUGGGGGUUGGAAAGUUUCGGCGGUUGGGGAUGGACUCGCGGCUUAUCAGCUUGUUGGUGGGGUAGUGGCUUACCAAGGCUUUGACGGGUAGCCGGCCUGAGAGGGUGACCGGCCACAUUGGGACUGAGAUACGGCCCAGACUCCUACGGGAGGCAGCAGUGGGGAAUAUUGCACAAUGGGCGGAAGCCUGAUGCAGCAACGCCGCGUGCGGGAUGACGGCCUUCGGGUUGUAAACCGCUUUCGCCUGUGACGAAGCGUGAGUGACGGUAAUGGGUAAAGAAGCACCGGCUAACUACGUG
rnacentral:rRNA from 1 species